UACGGAGGGUGCAAACGUUGCUCGGAAUUACUGGGCGUAAAGCGCACGUAGGCGGCUUUGUAAGUUAGAGGUGAAAGCCCGGAGCUCAACUCCGGAAUUGCCUUUAAGACUGCAUCGCUUGAAUCCAGGAGAGGUGAGUGGAAUUCCGAGUGUAGAGGUGAAAUUCGUAGAUAUUCGGAAGAACACCAGUGGCGAAGGCGGCUCACUGGACUGGUAUUGACGCGUGAGGUGCGAAAGCGUGGGGAGCAAACAGG
rnacentral:rRNA from 1 species